UAACGAAACAGUAGAUCCGAAAUUGAAUUUCAGCAAUAAUAUGAGUCAGGGUAGUCUGAACAACGUCGAGGUAUAGAUAUUAAUCCUAAAAAUUGUCGAGGGACAAGUGUUAAAUUUGGA